GAAACCCUUGUUCUCCCUCUCAGAUUUACGCAGACACCAAACUCUUACUCCCUUCUUGAUUCAAGAGUCUCAAAUUAGUGAGAAGUUGCAAGAAUCAAAGAAGAAGGAUGAAAUCACAGAAGAGAAAGAAGAAGUAUGGAAUAAUCGCAUGAAAUAAUAGUACCAUCCCAUCCUUGCAGAAUUGAUUCUCUUUAGAUGAGAUUCCUUGAGAUUAUGCAUGACUGGCAAAAGUUUGAAUCGAUGUAGAGUUGGAAUUGAUGAAUGAGUUUGCACCUUAUUUAACGACAUGGUGUUGGAACCAAUGAAGGUUGCUACGUCGGUGGUGGUGGAGAACUCUAUUUGAAACAUUCAAAAUAGGCUGGUAUUUAUGCGUGUCUAACAUAAUACAAUAAAAGAAAUGGAUGAGGAAAGGUACUAUAAUUUGGAGACUUGAUACAGCUAAGGAAUUAGAGAAAAGUUUGUGGAGGUAUCUGAUGUUGUAAACGCUAAGGUGAAUGGUCUUUUUUCUAAAGUAAUGGCCCUGUGAAUUGACUUGAUUGAUCAACUUAGGAAACAAUACUAAAAAUUUGUUUACUUGACUUUCCUUAUGAAGAUUAAUAAUAGGUUGCAACUUGCAAGUUUAAUUUUUAAAUGUUUGUGAAGUGUAUGGUUAUUGUAAAGUCCUGUAAAUAAUACAUAUGAUUUGUUUGCAAAUACAUUGUGUAGUUUUAUAACAUCUUUGAAUUAAUCUUCCUCGUUCCUCCCAAUUCUACAUCGUCUCCAUGAUUUUAACCUCUUCAAUAUUAAGGUAUUGUCUAAAAUCAUCUUUGACUUCUAAUCUUUCCUUUUGUUGUAUUUAAUUGCUUGCUUAAAUUUAUGUUUUAAUUGAUACUGAUAUUUUUUUGUUGUUGAGCUUGGUUGCAUGUAGUCACUGCUUCACUUUUUAUUUCAUUAGAGUUAAUCACUUUCUCUUUUUAAAGGUUUCUUAGUUUAGUUCUCGUUAUUUCGAGUUGAGUUUACUUUAUUUCUGAAGUGGAUUAGUGUUGGAACAAGUCAUUGGUCCAAUUUAGAUGAAAGAAUCUGAUGAUGGAAAAUUCUUACAAGUUUAAUGGAAAGGGACCAAGAGAUAAUGAAUACUUUGUUUCCCUAUUUUUUCACAGAUAUUCCCUAGUCUCGGGAUCCAAUCUGCAGUUGUCUUCACCUAGACGAACUCUCUUUCUCUCGCUGAAGUAAGGUUUUCCCUUUCUCUUGCUGAAGUAAGGUUCUCCAACCUCUCUGAAGUCUUAUGUUUUUUAUUGUUAAUGAUAAAUGAAAAAUAAUAUACUAUAGGAUCAUGUAGGGACUGUUUUAAUACUAAAAACAUGAGAGGCAUCAUCGUCAUAUUUUGAUAUGGAACAUUCAUUUGGGGAGAAAUCAACACAAUUUUAAAUCACUCUUAGAUGAUUUAAUCUGGAACAAUUUUCUUCGGUACUUUUGUAGUUUACUUCUCAUAACAACCACUCUAAAAAUAGACUUAUAUCACAUUUUCUCUUGUGCUUAAAAUGAGAUUCUAAUGAAAUUGAUAAGUAUGCAAUUUUCUCUUCAUAAUGGAAAUUAUAAGUUAUGGUUUGUUAAUUUUAAAAAUUGAAAUAAGUUAAACAUAUUUAUUAACACCUAGUUUGCAGGUCAAAGUAAUUUCAGCACAUGUUGGUAUGCCUAUUGCAGCUUUACCGUUCCACUGAAAUAUAUUUAUUCAUUAUUUUGGUUUUGAAAAUAGAAUUAUUAUAGUUGUAUAUGACAUGAAAUUAUAUGUCGUAGUGAGAUAGAAUGAGGAUACUUCUAAUGAUCAACUAAGAUUGUAGCAUGAAUUGUAUACUAUUAUGAUAUGACUAUAAUGUC